GGCAGGACAAAACACUUUACACAAGAGUUAGAAAAAAUUCACGCAUUUGUUUUUUUGUAAACGUAGAAAAGUUAGAGUCUUUCUCUUCAUAUUUAUUA
rnacentral:lncRNA from 1 species